UGUGGGACAAUAACCAAACGACUCUUAACAAUUUCCCUUUGAGCCUCUCCUUCAACGCCUUCCCCUGCGCUUCCUCCACUACAUUAUUUUCCUUCUUUAUCCCUUAUUCGUCGUUCAUGGUCCCUCCCCUUUCACAAGCUCCGCCCAAGUGACAGUCAUCUGCGAUCGGGUUCUGCGCACAUUGGCCGUGGUGUUGUUCCAGGCGAAUUCUGAACUGAUACUAAAGUACUUGAUACUUUUCAAGUGUACUCGUUUGCCGUUCCUGAUACAGGUGCGUAUCAGUGCCAAAGUAUCAGGUUGAUACUUUUCGACCCACCUCUACCCAAAACUAAGUACUGCUGGACUGAAGCCGCGGUCCGAGCGCUGACCGCCAUCAAGGCCCUGUUUCGUGAGUGUCAUACGCUGGCCAGGCUGUGGCCGGAGGAGCCCCUGUACCUCGACUCGUUAGCGGUGAUUUCUACAGAACAUGAUCUUGUGAACAGCUUUUGAUGGACUCAUUAACUUGUUUGCUGCUAAAAAGGCAAGGAAGAAGUUCAUUGCAAAUGACAAAAAUUGGCCCUCCCAGGAGAGUGCCGCGUGGCCGCGGCGACAACGGAGGGAGGAUGGGUGGAGAACCCCCACAUGGAACUAUCAGACAUGAGGGAGCAGGCACGUCAUCGGCAGGAACAGUACCUGCAAACCACACCCCUCUGACAAACCGCUCCGCCAUGUAUGAUUAGCAAUCAAGUAUUAAAGUUUAAACAGAAUAA